UGGCGGAAUGGUAGACGCGCAAGAUUUAGGUUCUUGUAACAGUUAGGUGGCGCGGGUUCGAUUCCCGU
rnacentral:tRNA from 1 species